GCUCCCCUCAUUACCGUGAGCGCUCAGAAUCCACGAUUCUGUCGUUUGAUCGUAAUUCUGCUGUAGCCUACCGCGCCGUGUUUCAUUGUGUCAACCUCAAGACCAUUUUGAAACAAAGUUUAAAUUAAGUAAAAAACCGAUACGAACGCUACUAUAAGGCAAUAGAAGAAGCAGAUAAACAUAACGAAAAAUGAAAAUUUCUAUUGAAGUUGUGCAGAAUGCCCUUACAAUAGCUACCUCCGGACCUUCAGCCAUCACUGGAGCUGACGGCACGAAGGUUAUAUGGACAUCCGUGAGAAGUAGCUGAGCUUAUCUAUAAGGAAGUCCAAAAGGUGAAAUAAUAAUAUCACAUACGCACACGCACACGCACACACACAUCCUCAGGAUAUGAAUGUUACAGUAUAAAUGCGUGAGUUUAUGCCUUUACAGUAGAUUUUGGCUGCAGGCUAAAAUGGUACAUUAAUAAAUCAUAAGCUAGCCUUUUGCUCAGACCUCUCUCCAGAGGUGAAUAAAAAAGACACCCGUGGGCAAUGCAGAAUGGAUACUGAAGUACAAUUAGACAUCAGAUGCUAGUCACAGAGGUUCCAGAAGUAAGUAAAGGAUGUGAACUGUUCUGUUGUGUUUGAUGUGAUUUCAUUAUUGGAAACUGAGCUUGGCAAGCCUAUAAAUAUAUUCCUUCAAUUUAACAGCAUCAUGCAGUCACUUCUAAAGUUGUCUCCUCCAAUUGUCUCUUUAAGUCAACAUAUAAAAUUACAAUAUGUAGCAAUACGCACCGUGAUAGCUAAUCCCUUAAGUGUAUCAAAUAAGUCAACUUUCACAGGCAUUCAAGGGUGUGGGGAAAGUUGAGAUAGGAACAGUUCUAGUGGAGGCAAACCACUUGUCUAGAUGCAACAUUUUGAAUUGAAAUCAUAUCUGACUGGAAUACAUACUGAAAUUAUUUUGGUCUUAAGUGCCAAGGCUCUGAGCAAACAAGGCUGUGGCAUUGAUACAGCACUAAUAAGCAUCCUUUCCCAGGUGCUUGGCAUCAACUGACAGUUGCCUGGGCCUCUGCCAAUCCAGCCAGAGAGCUUUCACAUUGAAUUAGCUGACAUUACAAAAACAACCAGGUACCUGUUCACAGAAAACACAGUGACUCUUCACUCCUAACCUGUCACAGGCUUCCAUCUUGAAGCUGUAAUUGGAUACGAGGCAUCUUGUGCCCCUUAGGAUGAGGGGAGGGACUACACUGUUCUGUAAAUUAAUAUUUGGUUUUAAUCUAUGAAAACACUAAAUUCCCCAGCACACAUGUUCAAACAGUGCAAGUGGUUCAAAAUAGCGAUAACAUGUGAUGGCUUCAUUAUUUUUUGAAGAAUUAUUCAUGAAGCCUUUUUUUUCCCCGUCAUGGGUUUAAUGAAGCUUCUGUGCUGCUCUAGUGUGUGAAUGGGUCCCGCAGUCUGAUAUAAACCGCAAACUGGGCCAGUACUGACUGGGCCUGAAGGGAGAUGCAUAAUUGGCUAUAUCAUAAUUUAUGAUGCGCAAAGAAGAAAAAAAUCAUUUUCUGAAUCAUGAUAUUUAGUCAUGCGAUCUGGCACUUAAGCAGACAACUAGGUCAUCUUCACUGGCGUGACAGGCAAUGUUACAGGAUAAAUGUGUGAAGACAUUUAAUUGAAGGUGUGCAGUUUAACAUAUGAAUAAUUCUCUUAAAAAAAUUUAUUGCAUGAAAUUUCAUAAGGGGGUUGUUGAUACACGUGUAAACAACAUGUGUUUAUCUCCUCUGGCCGUGUUGUCCAAGAUUCACCUACUUAAUUGCAUCCCCCUUUCAGUAAUGUGAAGAGGAAUCAAAUCAUCAUUAACUUUUUUUUUCUCUGCUAUUGGCAAUCUACUUUGAAUUACAAGGAUUAUAAAUAUUAAAGCUCUUUUGGUGCAUUCA